rnacentral:rRNA from 1 species
UACGUAGGUGGCAAGCGUUGUCCGGAUUUAUUGGGUUUAAAGGGUGCGUAGGCGGUUCUAUAAGUCAGUGGUGAAAAUCCGGCAGCUCAACUGUCGAUGUGCCAUUGAUACUGCAGAACUUGAGUACAGACGAGGUAGGCGGAAUUGACGGUGUAGCGGUGAAAUGCUUAGAUAUCGUCAAGAACACCGAUAGCGAAGGCAGCUUACUAGACUGUAACUGACGCUGAUGCACGAAAGUGUGGGGAUCAAACAGG